AACGAAUGCUGGCGGCACGCCUAACACAUGCAAGUCGAACGCGAACGGUUCUUCGGAACUUAUUAGAGUGGCGGACGGGUGAGUAACACGUGGGAACAUGCCUUUUAGUACGGAACAACGCCUGGAAACGGGUGCUAAUACCGUAUACGCCCUUCGGGGGAAAGAUUUAUCGCUAAAAGAUUGGCCCGCGCUAGAUUAGUUAGUUGGUGAGGUAACGGCUCACCAAGGCUACGAUCUAUAUCUGGUUUGAGAGGAUGAUCAGACACACUGGGACUGAGACACGGCCCAGACUCCUACGGGAGGCAGCAGUGGGGAAUAUUGGACAAUGGGGGAAACCCUGAUCCAGCGAUGCCGCGUGAGUGAUGAAGGCCCUAGGGUUGUAAAACUCUUUCACUGGUGAAGAUAAUGACUGUAACCAGAGAAGAAGCUCCGGCUAACUCCG
rnacentral:rRNA from 1 species